GACGGAGGGGGCUAGCGUUGUUCGGAAUGACUGGGCGUAAAGGGCGCGUAGGCGGUUGAACAAGUCAGGCGUGAAAGCCUUGGGCUUAACCCAAGAAUAGCGUUUGAAACUGUUUGACUUGAGAGCGAGAGAGGAAAGUAGAAUUCCGAGUGUAGAGGUGAAAUUCACAGAUAUUCGGAGGAAUACCAGAGGCGAAGGCGUCUUUCUGGCUCGCUACUGACGCUGAGGCGCGAAAGCGUGGGGAGCAAACAGG
rnacentral:rRNA from 1 species